CGGAGCGCGCGGCAGUGUAUCACUGAUGCUCCUGCUUCCCCCCCCGGAGCCUGUGGAGAAAUCUGGAAGAGAGGAGAGAAGGAGAGAAAACAGAGGAGCAAGAGAAAUGCUAAUUAUCUGAAGUCCUUCACUCUUUCCCUCCUGCUCGCUUUGCUGGAAAGAUGAAAGCUGGAGCUCUGGAAGAAGCCGGCUGACGGGAGAGGAAAGGAAGGAUUCUUCAACAAGGGGGAGAUUUGUUGGAAAACUGUAUGAAGACGACACAAGAAGAAUCAGCUUUGACAGACAGACAGACGGGGAGCUUAACAAAAACUGAGAAACAGCUCAACAGAACGACAAACACAAACAUGUUCAGCAAAGUGUGGUACCCGUAAAGCCUUGUGGAGGCCCAGUGGGUGGAGUUAUAAGGAAGCAGAGAUGAAGCUGACCAACCACAGGCCAUCACCCGGGGAUAUAAGCUCCACCCACCACUAAUAUCCAGGGAGACUGAUAGACAGAACAACACCUCUUGCAGCGGCACCUGAAACAUCAUUGGCCCAUAGUACAGCUGUCUUCGCUUCCUAUCCUCAGGUAUCUUUUCCUUCCUCUGUGAUGGCAGGAAUGGUCGCCAUAGAAACAGAGAGCCUAUGGUGAAGUGAGAGAAAGACUGAGGAAGAAAAGAAAGACAAGCAAUGCGAAAGAUACAAAAGGAGGGUGGGCC